rnacentral:rRNA from 1 species
AUUGAACGCUGGCGGCAGGCCUAACACAUGCAAGUCGAACGAGUGGCGGACGGGUGAGUAAUGUCUGGGAAACUGCCUGAUGGAGGGGGAUAACUACUGGAAACGGUAGCUAAUACCGCAUACCAUCGGAUGUGCCCAGAUGGGAUUAGCUAGUAGGUGGGGUAAAGGCUCACAUAGGCGACGAUCCCUAGCUGGUCUGAGAGGAUGACCAGUCGCAUGGGAAUGGAGACACGGUCACAACUCCUCAGGGAGGCAGCAGUGGGGAAUAUUGCACAAUGGGCGCAAGCCUGAUGCAGCCAGGCCGCGGGUAUGAAGCAGGCCUUCGGGUUGUAAAGUACUUUCAGCGGGGAGGAGUUACCCGCAGAAGAAGCACCGGCUAACGCCGUGCCAGCAGCCGCGGUAAUUC